GCGCGAACACUUACCCGGAGAGAGGGUCAAAUUGUCCCCAGCGGAAUUGACAGCCUGGAUGAAGAAGUACCGGACGGGCAAAACAACUUUGGGAUCGAGCCCGGGACCCCAAACAAUACAUUUUUCAGGACUGACUUCACUAGCUUGACACAACGGGAAGAUUACACAAAGGGAUGGACGGAGGUUGUUCAUGCACAACUGGAUAGAGACCCCCUGACUGAGGUGCUGAAGGUGGUCCCGUCACUCUAGAACCUUCUUGGUCCUCUCUCAGACUAAUACCGCAGUGAGCCGGACCUGAAGCCAUAGACAAUAACAAGAUGUAAAGAACCCAGGGCAGAAGGAAGCCAUUACACACCUGUGGAGCUCUCAUGCUUUCUACCUGUUUCCAGGAGAACAGUGCAUCUCUUCCGUGUUUCAGAGCAGGCUGUAUGCCCAAUCACCUGGAAAUGAUGGCGAACAACAGUCAGGCAUGCAAAUUAUGUCUAUAGUUAUGCCUAGUGCAAAUAUACAGGAGGGGUAUUCUAAUCAGCACAGGGAUUCAUGCCAUGAGUUAAUCAAGUCAACAAUAUAUGCAGCCACCCAAAAAAUAUAUACAGUGCCUUCUGAAAGUAUUCCGACCACACAACUUUCUUCACAUGUUGUUAUUUUGUAUUUUUUUGCCCUCAGUUUUUGCAAAUUACACCAUAAUGACCAUGUGACAAAUCUUUUGAAAUGGUUGCCAACUAAUUGAAAAUAAAAAAUGAAAAUAUUACAAUUGUUUAGACCCUUUCACCAUGACGUCCAUCUUGAGCUCAGAUGCAUCCUCUGUCCUUAGAUGCAUCCUCUGUCCUUAGAUCAUCCGUGAGAUGUCUCUAGAACUUGAUUUGAUUCCACUGUGGCCAAUUCAAUUGAUUGGACAUGAUUUAGAAAGGCACACACGUAUAUAUAAGGUCUAUAUAAGGUCCCACACUUCACAUCACAUAUCAGAGCAAUGAAGUCCAAAGACAGACUUGUAUCUCUGCAGCACUCCAUCAAUCAGACCUUGUGGUAGGGUGGCUAGGCAGAAGCCACUCCUGAGUGAAAGGCGUAUGACAUGCCGUCUGAAGGACUCUGAGAGCAUGAGGAAAAAGACUCUCUGGUCUGAUGAACUAUUAGGCCUAUCAUGCUAGUUCUGUUGAAAACAAGGGCUCAUCACCUGACUAAUACCGUCCCUACAGUGAAGCUCAGUGGCAUGGACUGGAAGACUGGUGAGGAUUGAGGGAAGGAUGAAGGUAGCAAAAUACAGAGAGGUCCUUGAU